UACGAAGGGUGCAAGCGUUACUCGGAAUUACUGGGCGUAAAGCGUGCGUAGGUGGUUUUUUAAGUCUGAUGUGAAAUCCCCGGGCUCAACCUGGGAAUGGCAUUGGAUACUGGCAGGCUAGAGUGCGGUAGAGGGUGGUGGAAUUCCCGGUGUAGCAGUGAAAUGCGUAGAGAUCGGGAGGAACAUCUGUGGCGAAGGCGGCCACCUGGACCAGCACUGACACUGAGGCACGAAAGCGUGGGGAGCAAACAGG
rnacentral:rRNA from 1 species